GCACAAGGUUUGGUUUCAGUUUAAAAAGCUCGUAGUUGGAUUUCGGGUGGGUCCUUGCGGUCCGGUUCGCUGUGUACUGCUGGGACCUUCCUUUCUGCCGGGGACGGGCUCUUGGGCUUCACUGUCUGGGACCCGGAGUCGGCGAGGUUACUUUGAGUAAAUUAGAGUGUUCAAAGCAAGCCUACGCUCUGAAUACAUUAGCAUGGAAUAACACGAUAGGACUCUGGCCUAUCUUGUUGGUCUGUAGGACCGGAGUAAUGAUUAAGAGGGACAGUUGGGGGCAUUCGUAUUUCAUUGUCAGAGGUGAAAUUCUUGGAUUUAUGAAAGACGAACUUCUGCGAAAGCAUUUGCCAAGGAUGUUUUCAUUAAUCAAGAACGAAAGUUGGGGGCUCGAAG
rnacentral:rRNA from 1 species